rfam:Oryza glaberrima chromosome 4 Oglab04_0310_13, whole genome shotgun sequence.
AAUAGAUAACGCCGUUGACUUUUUCUCACAUGUUAGACCAUUCGUCUUAUUUAAAAAAUUUAUGUAAUUAUAAUUUAUUUUGUUAUGAGUUCUUUUAUCACUCAUAGUACUUUAAGUGUGAUUUAUAUCUUAUAUAUUUGUAUAAAAUUUUUGAAUAAGACUAAUGGUCAAACAUGUGAGAAAAAGUUAACGGCGUCAUCUAUU